ensembl:rRNA 5S_rRNA 5S ribosomal RNA
GUGUACAGCCACAUUGCCCUGAACAUGCCCGAUAUUGUCUGAUUUCGGAAGCUAAGCAGGGUCGGGCCUGGUUAAUACUUGGGUGGGAGAAAGAGUACUCUAGUUAGGCCUUGUAGCUGCCUAGG